UACGGAAGGCAGCGGUGGGGAAUAUUGCACAAUGGGCGAAAGCCUGAUGCAGCUAUGCCGCGUGUAUGAAGAAGGCCUUAGGGUUGUAAAGUACUUUCAUCGGGGAGGAAAAAACAAAACUAAUAAUUUUAUUUCUUGACGUUACCCGAAAAAGAAGCACCGGCUAACUCCGUGCCAGCAGCCGCGGUAAUACGGAGGGUGCUAGCGUUAAUCAGAAUUACUGGGCGUAAAGAGCACGUAGGUGGUUUUUUUAAGUCAGAUGUGAAAUCCCUGGGCUUAACCUGGAACUGCAUUUUGAAACUGAAAUACUAGAGUAUCGUAGAGGGAGGUAGAAUUCUAGGUGUAGCGGUGAAAUGCGUAGAUAUCUGGAGGAAUACCUGUGGCGAAAGCGGCCUCCUAAACGAAUACUGACACUGAGGGUGCGAAAGCGUGGGGAGCAAACAGGGAUUAGAUACC
rnacentral:rRNA from 1 species